UGACAACAAUGGGAACUCUUAUUCUGAUGUGUUCUGGUUUUCUUCAUUAAUUCAGUCUGUCGGAGAACUUGAAUUUGGGCAACAGUUUCUAGGUAUAUAUUGAGUCAUUGAUUACCAGAUUUUCACCAUGGGGGGAGCUCGUUCUAGGAAGAGAAACCAUCAAGAUGAUGAAGAUAGUUUUCGCAGAGGGAUUUCCAGAAGGAUACAUUGAAUGAGGAGGGAAAAGGGAGGGGGUUUCUCGGGUACAUUGAUCUAUAAAUCUGGAAGAAGAAGAGGUGGAGAAGAAGACCCAGCAGCAACAAUAACCACAACAACAAGGAGGUUACUAGGAACAGCAGCAGAAGAAGAUCAUCGUCCAAAUCCUCUGCUCCUCUGCUCGAGUUGGUCUAUUUGUCGAGGGAGGAAUCCAAGUUCUAAUAAUAACCAAUCUUGGUCGAAAUCUACAAGGGAUUCUAAAAGUGGGUCUUGAAGAAAAUCGAUGUCAAUGCUAUAGGAUAUCGUUACUGUUUUGUUGAACUUCAGAAGUUGGAGAAACUUCAGGAAGAGGAUCUUGUUGAAAGGCCGUUCAAGAAGAAACAGAUCAGGAUCAGGUUUCCUGAAUGGGGAAGAAGUGGGAGAUUUGCUCCAUUUGGAGGUGUUGUUUAGCAGAGCAAAUCUCACAAUUGAAAGAGGAGAGAAACUGGCCAUUAUUGGCCCAAAUGGAUGUGGCAAGAGUACUUUGCUGAAACUAAUAAUGGGUUUACAAAAGCCAAUAGCAGGUGA